CCUGGGGCAGCAGUGGGGGAUAUUGCACAAUGGGGGAAACCCUGAUGCAGCGACGCCGCGUGAGCGAUGAAGUAUUUCGGUAUGUAAAGCUCUAUCAGCAGGGAAGAAAAUGACGGUACCUGACUAAGAAGCCCCGGCUAACUACGUGCCAGCAGCCGCGGUAAUACGUAGGGGGCAAGCGUUAUCCGGAUUUACUGGGUGUAAAGGGAGCGUAGACGGCAGUGCAAGUCUGAAGUGAAAGGCAAGGGCUCAACCCUUGGACUGCUUUGGAAACUGUGCUGCUGGAGUGUCGGAGAGGCAAGUGG
rnacentral:rRNA from 1 species